GGACGUUCCAAAACGUCCUGUGUGUGCAAGAUGCUGAUUGUGAACAGUUUGCUCCAGCAGGGGGCGACUUCACGGUGCUCCUUCCAGUCAAACUGGACGCCACGGACAGAUUAAUGUGGAAACGUAACGGUGAAAACAUAUUCAGAAGACAUGGAGAGUUGAUGAUCUUAGGGAAGGUUGAGGACGUCUCUGAGGACGGAUCUCUGAGGCUGAGGCAGGUGACAAAGAAAAUGGAGGGGACUUACGAGGCCGAGGUCUACACUCGAGACGGGAUAUCACGCGGGACGUUCCAAAACGUCCUGUGUGUGCAAGUUCAGCUUCACUCGGUAGAAUGAGGAAGAAACGACAGUCCCAUAACAAAGAGAGUCCAUACAUGGGAGAAGCCCAGCGCCACACUGCCUCCUGCUGGCAACACUAAAGUGUACUGUUAUCUGGCUAUUAUAGCACAUAUUAGUGAUGAUCUU